UCUUAUCUAGAGUGGUGGAGGGACUGGCCCGAUGAAACCCGGCAGCCUGCAUUUAUUUGCAAGGUGCUAAUUCCUACGGUGUAACCGAAAGAUGAGA
rnacentral:ncRNA from 1 species